CUUCUGGAGAUCUGCUGUGCUGGAGUUUUGUAAGUGAGCUCAGGAUAUGGCCAUCAGAUUGGUACUACAGUCGUAGAGUGGAUGCAGCAAGGCAUGUCUGCCCACCCCAGCUGGACAGAGUGCCCAGAGCAGCACAAGACCUGCAGCAGAACAGCCCCUCUCCUUUUCACUGCCUUGACCUGCACUCCAAUAAACUGUGUGCUGUUGUUCCCCGGCAGGUCUGCAGUGGCAGGUUAUUUCAAAGUCAGAUAUGCUUCAGUGGCAUGGAUUUACGCUGAAUUUCUGGGAUGUCAACAUUGCUGUUUGAAAGGAAAUGAUUUUUAAGUAAUAUCCGAGAUGUUGUUCUUUUUUUUCCUGCUGACUAAAUAAUCUAUCCUACUUUAGUUAUGUCUUUAUUUUCCUACACUUGAGCUAUCAAAUUUGCAUAGCAGACG